UACGUAGGGACCAAGCGUUGUUCGGAUUUACUGGGCGUAAAGGGCGCGUAGGCGGCUUGGUAAGUCGGGGGUGAAAGUCAGCGGCUCAACCGCUGGACUGCCUUCGAGACUGCCUGGCUUGAGCAUGGUAGAGGCUGGCGGAAUUCCCGGUGUAGCGGUGGAAUGCGUAGAGAUCGGGAAGAACAUCGGUGGCGAAGGCGGCCAGCUGGGCCAUUGCUGACGCUGAUGCGCGACAGCGUGGGGAGCAAACAGG
rnacentral:rRNA from 1 species